AUUGAACGCUGGCGGCAUGCCUUACACAUGCAAGUCGAACGGCAGCACGGGAGCAAUCCUGGUGGCGAGUGGCGAACGGGUGAGUAAUAUAUCGGAACGUGCCCAGUCGUGGGGAUAACGUAGCGAAAGCUACGCUAAUACCGCAUACGAUCUAUGGAUGAAAGCGGGGGGAUCGCAAGACCUCGCGCGAUUGGAGCGGCCGAUAUCAGAUUAGGUAGUUGGUGAGGUAAAGGACUCACCAAGCCGACGAUCUGUAGCUGGUCUGAGAGGACGACCAGCACACUGGACUGAGACACGGCCCAGACUCCUACGGGAGGCAGCAGUGGGGAAUUUUUGGGACAAUGGGCGCAAGCCUGAUCCAGCAAUG
rnacentral:rRNA from 1 species